rnacentral:rRNA from 1 species
CGCGUAGGCGGUGAGAUGUGUGUGAUGUGAAAGCCCCGGGCUUAACCUGGGAAGUGCAUUGCAAACUGUCUGACUGGAGUAUAUGAGAGGGUGGCGGAAUUUCCGGUGUAGCGGUGAAAUGCGUAGAUAUCGGAAGGAACGUCAAUGGCGAAGGCAGCCACCUGGCAUAAUACUGACGCUGAGGCGCGAAAGCGUGGGGAUCGAACAGGAUUAGAUACCCUGGUAGUCCACGCUGUAAACGAUGAGUACUAGAUGUUGGUAGGGGAACCUAUCAGUAUCGAAGCUAACGCGAUAAGUACUCCGCCUGGGAAGUACGGCCGCAAGGUUGAA